rnacentral:lncRNA from 1 species
UGCAUUAAAUUCCUUUAUUGGAGACAGAAACAUUGCAUAAUUACAGAUUUGAUGAGGAAAACUGCAAAUAGUAUAGACUGUUUCUACUGCCAGCAAAAUACAGUUAUUACAGGAUUUAUAGACAUACAAAUAUAAAGCAUUUCUUUCAUGCCAGAUGGUCCGUACAUAACAAUGCCAUUAGGAGCGCUUAAUUGUGCUUCUACAAAACCUUUAAAGAAUGAGGUAGAGUUUCCUUUAGUUUAUCCAGUAUUUUUUCACACAUCUGUCUUUUACUGGUUUUAUAUGCUCAGAUCCUUGUAAAAUACGCAGUUAACUUUAACAUUUGAAAAAACAGAGACCCUUUGGAGGUGUUUACUUCUCCCUCUUUAAGUUGCUAAUUUCCCACUGCUUAUAUGCUACAAUUCCAGUAACUACUACUGCACCCUUCUAAAUACUUUGAAGGUCAGGUAGACUGGAACAUCUGUCUUUCCAAAUUUACUGCUUCGACAGAAAUUGUUUGCAAAUAGCUUCAGAUAAAAACUCUUACUUGUCUCCAUCAUGGCAAAGAACCUUUUACACCCUAUCACUCUCUACUGCAGUGGCCAAGCUAAAGUCCAAGCCAUCUCCCCAGGAGAUGGAGGGAAUAGAUCCACUUUGUCGACACCCUCGACUAUGGAAUAGAGUUAAUCAUAUAUUUGUCUCCUACUUGCAGUUCUAUACUGCCUGAGAUAACUUUUCAGCUCCUCCAUCUCACACUUAAAUGACUGUUCUAAGCACGACAGAAUCAAGUCCUAUAAAGAGUUAGCAUUAUUAAGAGAACCAGCUCUUAGAAACUUUCCCAACUCUUGCUCAGAAAAAAAGCACUACACUUACUUUAUCUACUAUUCCCUGCACACCUCUUUGGUAAAAACCAAAACUGACCAGUAUUGGAAAAUUAUUUGGAACACUGUAGUUAAUUACUUCCACAAAGUUGUCGUCUGGUUUUGUUUGGUUUUGGUUUUUUAUUUACCUUAACUUUAAUCAGCAGAUAUUUUAAAGACUUUAAAAUUCUAUAUCAAGGUCUUAAAUCCUCCUUAAGAUCUUCCUGUGACCAUGAAAUUUAAGAUCCUUUUUUUUUUUUUUUUAAAGAAUUCAGGAUUGUGGUAAAAAUGGUAAAAACCAGACACAAUAAAUUGAGUUUUAAGAUAACCAAACAGUAUAAAUUCACGUUCAGAGACAGACAAGGAUCUAGCCAUGCUGUUACUACUAGUGAAUUUAAACACCUUUAUUUUUAGUAAAUUUGGGUGUGGUUGACCUUGCUAGUGUGGUUAAUGAGAAUCUGAGCUACUAAUGCCAAAGUUUUAUUACAAAUCCAAGGACUGACUUAUUCUAGUUCAGUAUUGUUCUAUACCUGCUAAGCCCUAAUGUACCUGACUGUUCUGCCUGAAGGUAACGGCUAAGUUAGCUUUGUUUAUGGAGUUGGGGACAUAUUUGCC